rnacentral:tRNA from 1 species
GUGGGUACAGCUCAGUGGAAGAGCACAUGCUUAGCAUGCAUGAGGUACUGGGUUCAAUCCCCAGUACCUCUA